UUUUCUGUUUGCUUUGAGAUGGGAGAAACAUCUUAAGCCUCAGAAGGACCAAAGCAGCGGAGUGACUCAGGGGCCCAGGAGGCAGAAGGGAACUGAGCAGACCAGACCCCGAGGGCGGCGAAGAUGGGCACGGAUUCCAGACUCUGCUUGGGCAUUUCUUCAGAAGCCAGCCUCUCCUCCGUGCUGGGAAAUGUCGGAGUCAGUGGGCAACCUGCACAGGGUGUGGCACACAGAGGACAGACAGUGACCCGCGGAAACAUGCAUGGUGGGAGAGCAGCAGGGCAGAACCAGAGACUGCAGGAUUAUCUGUGGCUUUCAAUGAUCUGUGUUCCGAGGGUCUGAUGUCAGCCAUGGAGGAUACAGCUGCUGCACCUUCUGUAGGCCCCAAAGCCCUAAGAAGCCAUGUGAAAUUUAAGAGUAACCAUUUAACUACAAGAUAUGCAAAAACCUUCUGAAAUACUCGGGAGUAUGCAAGCUGAGGAAUUUUAGUUCGUUACAGAAAAUUACUUCUAGAUAGAUGUGGCUCUCAGUUCUAAAUUGGUAACAAGGCCGAUUUCCACUAGGCAUCAACUAGUUAAAGGGCACACAAAAAAGAACUUGGAAAGACUCCUAACGCACCACCCAAAUGAAUGGCUUGCCACAUUUUAAUUAAAAAAUUUAAGAAUUAAAACACACACACACACAAAACAAGAAAAAAACCUAGAUCCCAAACCCACCACCUCACAAACAAGGAUGACCAAGCUUUCUCUAUAAAAGGCGAGACAAUAAACUUUAUCUAGAGACAAAACUAACAAUACUACAUAGCCACUUUUAUAAUGACAAAAAACAAAAUUUCCACAAUUCUUUUAUUGACAAAAUUCAAGAUCUAUAAUGAAUACAAUUUGGGGAGCACCUGGGUGGCUCAGGUCAUGAAACCCGGGU